GAUGAACGCUAGCGGCAGGCCUAACACAUGCAAGUCGAGGGAGAGGUUAUCUUCGGGUAACCAAAACCGGCGCACGGGUGCGUAACGCGUAUACAAUCUGCCUUUCACAUAGGGAUAGCCCGAAGAAAUUUGGAUUAAUACCUAAUGGUAUAUAAGAGCGGCAUCGUUUUUAUAUUAAAGCUACGGUGGUGAAAGAUGAGUAUGCGUUCUAUUAGCUAGUUGGAUAGGUAACGGCUCCCCAAGGUCACCAUACAUAGGGGUUCUGCGAAAAUAUGUCUCUA
rnacentral:rRNA from 1 species